rnacentral:lncRNA from 1 species
AUUUCCUUCUGUGCUCACAGGACUGGCUACAUCCCUUCACCAGGUGCUUAACCACUGGUUCAGGCUGUGACCUAACUGAUCCCAUACACCCUGUCAUCCAUAUGCUAUAGAGAGCACCUCCCAAAUACCAUAUACUUUCUCCCCUAGCAGUUAUUAGAUAGCAAUGACAUUUCAUAAGAAAGAAUGAAAACGCUUGGUGUACACAGGACACAGGUGCCAAGCUCCUCGUUAAGGGUAGCUGUGUCUGCUUGCCUGGCUCUACUGCACACAGCUGUGCUGUUUGCCCAUAAGAAUGUGGCUUGGAGUGUCCUGCUGCUGAGUGGAGUUGUCUUUUGCAAAGCUGGUCUUCCGAGGAAAUACAUGGUCGUAAGAAGACAUGAAAUAAAGGCUGCAUUGGCUGCUGAGGCUCCUACCAGUCCGUCCUGAGCACUUCUGAGGAGUGGAGACUUAGAAUUCCUGAUUGUUUGACAGAAGCAUUUGAGGAAUGGGAUGAAAACUGUAAACAGCCUGCUUUCAUCUCUGAAAUUAGAAUAAAAUGCUGGCCCAAAGAUGACA